rnacentral:ncRNA from 1 species
AAUAUAGUUUUAUUCUUGCUUUAUAUUUAGUUUAUUAAUAAAUUUACAUGAAUAAAUUAUUUUUCAGUAAUCAGUUUUAUUAUUUAUUAUAAUUUAUUAUUUAUUUAUUUAAUUUAUAUUUGAAUAAUAUUGUGCCAGCAACCGCGGUUAUACAAUUAAUUAGAAUUUUUUUUUUUUUUUUUUUUUUUUUUUUUUUUUGAACAUUAAUUUUAAUAUUUAAGUGAAAUUUUUUUUUUUUUUUUUUUCUUUUUAUUUUAUUUUAAAAUCUUAUUUUAAACUAGGAUUAGAUACCCUAUUAUUUAUUUUUUAUUUUCUUUUGAUUAUUAUUAGAUAUUUCCUUUAAAAUUCAAAGAUUUUGGCGGUUAAUUAAUUCUUUUUAGAGGAACCUGUAUUAUAAUCGAUAAUCCACGAUAAUUACUACCUUUUUUUUGUUUGUAUAUCUCUAUUGUAAGAAUAUUUUUAUAAAAAUUUUCUUUAACAAAAAAUGGUUAAUUUUAGGUCAAGGUGCAGUUUUUAAUAGGUAUUUAUGGGUUACUAAAAUUUUAUAUAAUAAAUUUAUUCUUAUAUGAUUAUUUUUAGGAUUUAAUAGUAAAUUUAAUUAAUUAAUUAAUUUUAAUUUAGCUCUAAUUAAUGUACAUAUCGCCCGUCACUCCUUUAUAUAGGAUAAGUCGUAACAAAGUAAACUUACUGGAAAGUGAGUUUAGAAUCA